GGAAUAUUUAAGAAAUAAAAAUAGGGUUAGUUAACAUAAGGUUAAGAUAAGAUUGUAUAACAUAGGGCUACAGUGAAGAAAUCAAAAAUUUCAAGGCAGCAUGAAGGUAACGCACAAUCAGGGAUGUGCAAUUUCUGAGGCAUGUAUUCAAAAAAAGUAUUUUAAUUGUGUUUUAUGAUUCAUAUUUGACUUAGUUCAUGAAAUAAAAUGUUUUUUUCUACA